CCUACGGGUGGCAGCAGUGAGGAAUAUUGGUCAAUGGGCGUAAGCCUGAACCAGCCAAGUAGCGUGCGGGAUGAAGGUUCUAUGGGUCGUAAACCUCUUUUAUAUGGGAAUAAAGCCCGGCACGUGUCCCGUCUUGUAUGUACCUUAUGAAUAAGGAUCGGCUAACUCCGUGCCAGCAGCCGCGGUAAUACGGAGGAUCCGAGCGUUAUCCGGAUUUAUUGGGUUUAAAGGUGGCGUAGGCGGCCGUUUAAGUCAGCGGUGAAAGUCGGCGGCUCAACCAGAGAAUUGCCGUUGAAACUGGGAGGCUUGAGUACAGUAGAGGCAGGCGGAAUGCGUGGUGUAGCGGUGAAAUGCUUAGAUAUCACGAAGAACCCCGAUUGCGAAGGCAGCCUGCCGGGCUGUGACUGACGCUGAUGCACGAAAGUGUGGGUAUCAAACAGGAUUAGAUACCCUUGUAGUC
rnacentral:rRNA from 1 species